rnacentral:sRNA from 1 species
AUUUUUUUUCUGUUUUU